AGGACGAACGCUGGCGGCGUGCUUAACACAUGCAAGUCGAACGCUUUUGGGGCUUCGGUCCCAAAGGAGUGGCGCACGGGUGAGUAGCGCGUGGGAACCUGCCCUGGAGUGGGGGAUAACCGAGGGAAACUUCGGCUAAUACCGCAUACGCCGGGAAACCGGGAAAGAUUUAUCGCUCUAGGAGGGGCCCGCGUCGGAUUAGGUAGUUGGUGGGGUAACGGCCUACCAAGCCUGUGAUCCGUAGCUGGUCUGAGAGGAUGAUCAGCCACACUGGGACUGAGACACGGCCCAGACUCCUACGGGAGGCAGCAGUGGGGAAUAUUGGACAAUGGGCGCAAGCCUGAUCCAGCAAUGCCGCGUGAGUGAUGAAGGCCUUCGGGUUGUAAAGACUCUUUCGCACGCGAGGAUGAUGACGCUAGCGUGAGAAGAAGCCCGGCUAACUUCGUGCCAGCAGCCGC
rnacentral:rRNA from 1 species